UAGGGAAUCUUCGGCAAUGGGGGCAACCCUGACCGAGCAACGCCGCGUGAGUGAAGAAGGUUUUCGGAUCGUAAAGCUCUGUUGUAAGUCAAGAACGGGUGUGAGAGUGGAAAGUUCACACUGUGACGGUAGCUUACCAGAAAGGGACGGCUAACUACGUGCCAGCAGCCGCGGUAAUACGUAGGUCCCGAGCGUUGUCCGGAUUUAUUGGGCGUAAAGCGAGCGCAGGCGGUUUGAUAAGUCUGAAGUUAAAGGCUGUGGCUCAACCAUAGUUCGCUUUGGAAACUGUCAAACUUGAGUGCAGAAGGGGAGAGUGGAAUUCCAUGUGUAGCGGUGAAAUGCGUAGAUAUAUGGAGGAACACCGGUGGCGAAAGCGGCUCUCUGGUCUGUAACUGACGCUGAGGCUCGAAAGCGUGGGGAGCGAACAGGAUUAGAUACCCUGGUAGUCCACGCCGUAAACGAUGAGUGCUAGGUGUUGGAUCCUUUCCGGGAUUCAGUGCCGCAGCUAACGCAUUAAGCACUCCGCCUGGGGAGUACGACCGCAAGGUUGAAACUCUAAAGUGAAUU
rnacentral:rRNA from 1 species